rnacentral:rRNA from 1 species
UUAGAGUUUGAUCCUGGCUCAGGACGACCUUUGGCGGCGUGCCUAACACAUGCAAGUCGAACGGGGUUGAUGACUUCGGUUAUUAACUUAGUGGCGAACGGGUGAGUAACGCGUGAGAAACCUGCCUUUCAGUGGGGGACAACAGUUGGAAACGACUGCUAAUACCGCAUAAUGUUAUUUAGGGGCAUCCUUGAAUAACCAAAGCUUUAUGUGCUGAAAGAUGGUCUCGCGUCUGAUUAGCUAGAUGGCGGGGUAACGGCCCACCAUGGCGACGAUCAGUAGCCGGUCUGAGAGGAUGAACGGCCACAUUGGGACUGAGAUACGGCCCAGACUCCUACGGGAGGCAGCAGUGGGGAAUAUUGGGCAAUGGGGGAAACCCUGACCCAGCAACGCCGCGUGAAGGAAGAAGGCCUUCGGGUUGUAAACUUCUUUUACCAGGGACGAAGAAAGUGACGGUACCUGGAGAAAAAGCAACGGCUAACUACGUGCCAGCAGCCGCGGUAAUACGUAGGUUGCAAGCGUUGUCCGGAUUUACUGGGUGUAAAGGGCGUGUAGGCGGAGAUGCAAGUUGGGAGUGAAAUCCCGGGGCUCAACCCCGGAACUGCUUUCAAAACUGUAUCCCUUGAGUGUCGGAGAGGCAAGCGGAAUUCCUAGUGUAGCGGUGAAAUGCGUAGAUAUUAGGAGGAACACCAGUGGCGAAGGCGGCUUGCUGGACGAUAACUGACGCUGAGGCGCGAAAGCGUGGGGAGCAAACAGGAUUAGAUACCCUGGUAGUCCACGCUGUAAACGAUGAAUAAAGGGUGUGGGAGGGACUGACCCCUUCCGUGCCGCAGUUAACACAAUAAGUAUUCCCCCUGGGGAGUAGGACCGCAAGGGUGAAACUCAAGGGAAUUGACGGGGGCCCGCCCAAGCAGUGGAUUAUGUGGUUUAAUUCGACGCAACGCGAAGAACCUUACCAGGGUUUGACAUCCAACUAACGAAGUAGAGAUACAUUAGGUGCCCUUCGGGGAAAGUUGAGACAGGUGGUGCAUGGUUGUCGUCAGCUCGUGUCGUGAGAUGUUGGGUUAAGUCCCGCAACGAGCGCAACCCCUAUCUUUAGUAGCCAGCAUUUUAGAUGGGCACUCUAGAGAGACUGCCAGGGAUAACCUGGAGGAAGGUGGGGAUGACGUCAAAUCAUCAUGCCCCUUAUGAUCAGGGCUACACACGUGCUACAAUGGCGUAAACAAAGAGAAGCGAACCUGCGAGGGCAAGCAAAUCUCAAAAAUAACGUCUCAGUUCGGAUUGUAGUCUGCAACUCGAAUACAUGAAGCUGGAAUCGCUAGUAAUCGCGAAUCAGAAUGUCGCGGUGAAUACGUUCCCGGGCCUUGUACACAACGCCCGUCA